GGCUGGAACAAAACAUAAGGAUGAUAUUUUCGAGAAUGGAAAACCUCAAUGCAAGGCAGACCAUACAGACCAAAUUUGGUCUGGUCAACAUAGACAAUCAAGGCAAUGUCCAAAUAGAUAGCAGUGUUUGGGAAAAGAUGUUUGUUUCCAUCAAUGAGCUAGAUCAGUUAAAAGAUCACAGAAGACCUCUCAAUUUAAUAAGGACGUUGGUGCAUUUCUUCACCACCAUGGAGCAUCAAGGUCUGCAAUCAACACUAGACCAGUGCUAGGAUACAGUGUGGCACCAAGGACACUUGACAGGCAAAAAAAAAAAAAACACAAAAAAGGAACUACCCAAAUCAGCUGCAGGAACAUCUAAAAUAUGCAGUUGAUGAGAAGGGCUUCAUAAUGCUGCUUAUAGAUGACUUUCACAAUAUUCACACUGUGCGACUGCCAGGGAGUGAUAUGAAACUAUCAGUGGCUACCCAUAUGACCUCUUCACUGUUAGAUAUCCACCCUUCUAUCAAAGCCCCAAA